rnacentral:tRNA from 1 species
GCGGGGGUAGCUUAGCCCGGCUAGAGCGCCCUGGGGCAGCAGCCCCGCGUAGGGCUCAUAACCGGGAGGUCCCGGGUUCAAAUCCCGGCCCCCGCA